CCUACGGGAGGCAGCAGUAGGGAAUAUUGCUCAAUGGGGGAAACCCUGAAGCAGCAACGCCGCGUGGUGGAUGAAGGUUUUCGGAUUGUAAACUCCUUUUGUUAGAGAAGAUAAUGACGGUAUCUAACGAAUAAGCACCGGCUAACUCCGUGCCAGCAGCCGCGGUAAUACGGAGGGUGCAAGCGUUACUCGGAAUCACUGGGCGUAAAGAGCGCGUAGGCGGGAUAGCAAGUCAGAUGUGAAAUCCUAUGGCUUAACCAGAGAACUGCAUUUGAAACUGUUAUUCUAGAGUAUGGGAGAGGUAGGUGGAAUGCUUGGUGUAGGGGUGAAAUCCGUAGAGAUCAAGAGGAAUACUCAUUGCGAAGGCGACCUGCUAGAGCAUAACUGACGCUGAUGCGCGAAAGCGUGGGGAGCGAACAGGAGUAGAUACCCGAGUAGUC
rnacentral:rRNA from 1 species